CACUCUACGCUACUCCUGAAUGCUCUCUCGUUCUAUGUGUUGGAAAUUCACACUUGUGGUAGAAUGUUAACCAGACAGAUCACAGGUAGAUAAACAGUUUUCAACUUGGCUUGGCUUGGUGCGCAUGAAAGUGGAUUAUAAAGCUUAAAAUUUUUACCGUGUGGCUAUUGAACGAGUUUAAGUGUAUUCGCAUGCGCGAAAGUGUUUGAUCGUACUAGUGCAGUGAACCAAAUAGUCGCUGUCCUUUCUUUCAGGAUGACGCAAGGAACACAGCAGCGAAACCAUAAUGACCGAAUUUGGCUGUCCCAAAAUCACAAUUGCUCGCGGGCCGCAAUGUACGCACUUUCCGCCCGUUCAACGCCCUCCGGACAGAAGAAGCCCACCCACGGUGCUCACCAUUCGACGCAACAUUCGUCCAACCCCAAACCGACAAUUGUUUGUGACGUAGUUGAAAUGGUCGAUAUCAAAUACGCAGAUAGUAACGCUCCCUCUGUCUCCCUCUAGCUCUCCCCCUCUAGCUCUCCCUUCAAACACGAAUGAUACAUUAUUGCAACAAGCGGAAGCGUAAAAUUCGGUACAGUACGGUAAGCAAAGCACACCACCACAAGGGAUACUGUUUGGAAAGGCGUUGUAAUUUCAUCCGAUGAUCAGCACCAGGACCGGGUGCCGUCCUAGCAAGACAGUUAAUCGGCGUAUUACAGAGCGCUCAUCCGUACCGUUCGACUGUUCGACCGUUCGGUGUUGGUUUUCUCGUUGGAGCCUUUAUAUAGAAUCAAACGCACAUAUUUAACAGGCUCAGGAGCUGGAGAAGUACACACAGAAACAAAAAAAAAACCAAGGGACUGUGACAUGCGUUUUUGGUUUGUUGCUCCACUGGGAGGACGAACCGAACGCUCGGACGACGAAAGGUUCAACACAAUGGAUGGGCAAUGAAAUUCCCCCGAGGGAGGGGAGUGGCACGGGGAAGUCAGAUGUGGGAGAGGUGUGGGGAAAAAGAGAAAGAAACCCCCCGGUUGGCCGGUUUUGUGUAAACGCAAUACAAACGCAUCACUUUCAUGGAUUAUCCCUAGACGGCGUUUCCAUCUCUUGGGCCGAUUGUUCAUGGUUCCUCAUAAAAUCUUCCUGAUGAAAAUCAUCCCUGAUUGUCAAACUUUUUAUAAGAGAAUAAAAAUUAUACUUCAAAGGA